rnacentral:rRNA from 1 species
UGGCUCAGGAUGAACGCUAGCGACAGGCCUAACACAUGCAAGUCGAGGGGCAUCGGGGCGAGGAGCAAUCCUUGCCGCCGGCGACCGGCGCACGGGUGAGUAACGCGUAUGCGACCUGCCCGUUGCAGGGGGAUAAUCGGGAGAAAUCCCGUCUAAUACCGCGUAAUGCCGCGGGGCUGCAUGGCCCUGCGGCCAAAGGAAGCGAUUCCGGCAACGGAUGGGCAUGCGUGACAUUAGCUAGUUGGCGGGGCAACGGCCCACCAAGGCGACGAUGUCUAGGGGUUCUGAGAGGAAGGUCCCCCACACUGGUACUGAAACACGGACCACACUCCUACGGGAGGCAGCAGUGAGGAAUAUUGGACAAUGGGCGCGAGCCUGAACCAGCCAAGUCGCGUGAGGGAUGACGGCCCUACGGGUUGUAAACCUCUUUUGUCGGGGGAGCAAAUUCCGCCACGUGUGGCGGAGUCGAGAGUACCCGAAGAAAAAGCAUCGGCUAACUCCGUGCCAGCAGCCGCGGUAAUACGGAGGAUGCGAGCGUUAUCCGGAUUUAUUGGGUUUAAAGGGUGCGUAGGCGGACUGUCAAGUCAGCGGUAAAAUACGGGGGCUCAACCUCCGCCCGCCGUUGAAACUGACGGUCUUGAGUGGGCGAGAAGUAUGCGGAAUGCGUGGUGUAGCGGUGAAAUGCAUAGAUAUCACGCAGAACUCCGAUUGCGAAGGCAGCAUACCGGCGCCCAACUGACGCUGAAGCACGAAAGCGUGGGUAUCGAACAGGAUUAGAUACCCUGGUAGUCCACGCAGUAAACGAUGAAUACUAGCUGUCCGGGGCGAAUGAGCCCUGGGUGGCACAGCGAAAGCGUUAAGUAUUCCACCUGGGGAGUACGCCGGCAACGGUGAAACUCAAAGGAAUUGACGGGGGCCCGCACAAGCGGAGGAACAUGUGGUUUAAUUCGAUGAUACGCGAGGAACCUUACCCGGGCUCAAACGACACAGGAACGUACCUGAAAGGGUUCGGCUCUACGGAGCCUGUGUCGAGGUGCUGCAUGGUUGUCGUCAGCUCGCGCCGUGAGGUGUCGGCUUAAGUGCCAUAACGAGCGCAACCCCCAUCGACAGUUGCUAACAGGUCAGGCUGAGGACUCUGUCGAGACUGCCGGCGCAAGCUGCGAGGAAGGCGGGGAUGACGUCAAAUCAGCACGGCCCUUACGUCCGGGGCGACACACGUGUUACAAUGGCAGGUACAGCGGGAAGCCACCUGGCGACAGGGAGCGGAACCCGAAAGCCUGUCUCAGUUCGGAUUGGAGUCUGCAACCCGACUCCAUGAAGCUGGAUUCGCUAGUAAUCGCGCAUCAGCCACGGCGCGGUGAAUACGUUCCAGGGCCUUGUACACACCGCCCGUCAAGCCAUGGAAGCCGGGGGUGCCUGAAGUGCGCUGCCGCGAGGAGCGCCCUAGGGUAAAACCGGUGACUGGGGCUAAGUCGUAACAAGGUAGCCGU